ensembl:lncRNA
GGGAGAGACAGAACACAGCCUGUUAGGAGGGAGAUGGAGGGAGAGACAGAACACAUCAUGGGACGGAGGGAGGGAGAAAGAGAGGCAGAACACAUCAUGGGACGGAGGGAGGGAGAAAGAGAGGCAGAACACAUCAUGGGACGGAGGGAGGGAGAAAGAGAGGCAGAACACAGCCUGGGACGGAGGGGGGGAGAAAGAGAGGCAGAACACAGACUGGGACGGAGAAAGAGAGGCAGAACACAUCAUGGGACGGAGGGAGGGAGAAAGAGAGGCAGAACACAUCAUGGGACGGAGGGAGGGAGAAAGAGAGGCAGAACACAUCAUGGGACGGAGGGAGGGAGAAAGAGAGGCAGAACACAGCCUGGGACAGGGGGAGGGAGAAAG